GCCUCUUGUAUGUGCUGUGUCUGAGCUGGAGGGCAACGUUGGAGUUACACUGACUCUUCAGGCCUAUGAGGUUUGGUGCAACCUGAAGGUGCCAGCUGACAUCUAUAGGCAUCUGUUGGAGCAAGACAGCAUUCUGAUGCUGCAUCCCCAUGAGGGAAGCUAACUGCAGGGGAACAGCAGAGAAAGAAGAGGAAAGAAGGCAUUAUCAUCACUUUCCAUCGCUCCACAGAAGGAAAAAAAGAAAUAUGAGAAAACAUUGACAAAGCUUGAACAACUGCCUACAGCAUAAUGAUUUUCUGCAUUUUUUUUUGUCAGGUGUUCCUGUGCUUUAUCAGUACUUACGUAGUGAUUCCCUUGAAACCACAUAGAUUAUUAACCUGGUGUUGGGUACAGAAGAGCAAUAACUCAUUUUUUAGCUUUCGGUCUUUAAUUCUAUUUUUUCUUUUCUCAAAAGCUCUGUGUUCAGUCUGUCUCUUGUCACAUGUAGAAAUAAUAAAGCAGAUAUAUGCGUGGGGUAAGGGCUACAAGCUUGGUUUGUAGGUCACCUUCAGUACAGGUGACCUUUAGGCAAAUGACCUACUAGGUUCUUCACAUCUACCACAUCAGCUGAUGGGGAAAGAGCUGUGGACAGCUGGAGCCCAGAGCCCAUGUGACAGCGACCAAAAUGUUCCUCUGCUGAGUGGCUGGCACCCACAGGCCCUGUCCCUUGGACUCGGGCUGAUUCAGCAGCCUACUCAAACAUGGCAGUGAUUGUUCACCCCACAGCCAGUGUCUGUUGCCAGCAGGAUUCUUCAGAAGACACCCAGGACGCUUGGAGGUGACACUCCCUGGCUUCUGGCAGCUUAGAGACUGCUCCCACAGCUUUGCUGCAAACCUUCCACCUCUUCCCAUCUCUAUCUUUCUAAUUCUUAAGUCUCCGUGUUUUCCCUGACGUGGAUGGGUGUGAUGUUUUCAUGUUCUGGCCCUGCUGCUCACAAAGAGGGAACAGACAUCGAAGGUCUCUCUGUGCUGUCUGCCUCUGAAAGGAUUGCUCUCAAAUGGGAAAGAAAAUCAUGUACAAGUGGCAUUUCUUGAAUUGUGGAGCUACUGGAUGAUGUUCUUCAGGUCUUUCAGGUUAGGGGAGAAAGGAGAGACUGAAAGUAGGGAAAUCAGUGAGGAGGAAGUAAAGAAAAUAAUAUCCAUGAUGAAUAUAGGCUGCAAGAGAGAGCAGUGCUUUUAAGGAAAUGGGAGAGUGAGCAACAAAAAAUAUGGAAACAAAAGCCACAAUAAAACACUUCUAGAAACC
ensembl:lncRNA